rnacentral:rRNA from 1 species
AGGACGAACGCUGGCGGCGCGCUUAACACAUGCAAGUCGAGCGAGAACCAGAGCUUCGGCUCUGGGGACAGCGGCGAACGGGUGAGUAACACGUGAGUAAUCUGCCCUCGACACUGGGAUAGCCCGGGGAAACCCGGAUUAAUACCGGAUAGCCUUUCGAGCUCUCGGGCUCGUCAGAAAAGGAUGGCUUCGGCUUUCGGUUGAGGAUGAGCUUGCGGCGGAUUAGCUUGUUGGUGAGGUAACGGCUCACAAGGCGACAAUCCGUAGCUGGUCUGAGAGGACGAUCAGCCACACUGGGACUGAGACGACGGCCAGACUCCGUACGGGAGGCAGCGAGGUAGGGGAAUUCGUUGACGCAAGUGAGACGAAAGCUUGACGCACGGCGACGCGGCG